rnacentral:tRNA from 1 species
AUUUAAUUAGUCUAAUAAAGGACAUUAGUUUGUGGUACUAAAGGUAUAAUAGGUUAUGUUAAAUU